rnacentral:rRNA from 1 species
GAUGAACGCUGGCGGCGUGCUUAACACAUGCAAGUCGAACGGGAUCCAAGGGGUGCUUGCACUUUUUGGUGAGAGUGGCGAACGGGUGAGUAACACGUGAGUAACCUGUCCUUUUCUUUGGGAUAAGCAUUCGAAAGGGUGUUUAAUACCUUAUGUUCUGCCUGCCUCGCAUGGGGUGGGUGGGAAAGGCUUUGGCCGGAUUUGGGUGGGCUCGCGGUCUAUCAGCUUGUUGGUGGGGUGAUGGCUUACCAAGGCUUUGACGGGUAGCCGGCCUGAGAGGGUGGUCGGUCACAUUGGGACUGAGAUACGGCCCAGACUCCUGCGGGAGGCAGCAGUGGGGGAUAUUGCACAAUGGGCGAAAGCCUGAUGCAGCGACGCCGCGUGGGGGAUGAAGGCCUUCGGGUUGUAAACUUCUUUUGCUCUGAACAAGGCAUGCCAGUGGGUGUGUUGAGUGUAGGGGUUGAUUAGCGCCGGCUAACUACGUG